AGUGAGUCUGACGGAGCACGCCGCGUGAGUGAUGAAGGUUUUCGGAUCGUAAAACUCUGUUGUUAGGGAAGAACAAGUACCGUUCGAAUAGGGCGGUACCUUGACGGUACCUAACCAGAAAGCCACGGCUAACUACGUGCCAGCAGCCGCGGUAAUACGUAGGUGGCAAGCGUUGUCCGGAAUUAUUGGGCGUAAAGCGCGCGCAGGCGGUUUCUUAAGUCUGAUGUGAAAGCCCCCGGCUCAACCGGGGAGGGUCAUUGGAAACUGGGGAACUUGAGUGCAGAAGAGGAGAGUGGAAUUCCACGUGUAGCGGUGAAAUGCGUAGAGAUGUGGAGGAACACCAGUGGCGAAGGCGACUCUCUGGUCUGUAACUGACGCUGAGGCGCGAAAGCGUGGGGAGCGAACAGGAUUAGAUACC
rnacentral:rRNA from 1 species